rnacentral:rRNA from 1 species
GACGUAGGGGGCCAGCGUUGUUCGGAAUUACUGGGUGUAAAGGGUUCGUAGGCGGUGCGGCAAGUUGGGAGUGAAAUCUCUGGGCUCAACCCAGAGGCUGCUUCCAAAACUGCUGUGCUUGAGUGUGAGAGAGGCUCGUGGAAUUGCAGGUGUAGCGGUGAAAUGCGUAGAUAUCUGGAGGAACACCGGUGGCGAAGGCGGCAUCCUGGACCGGUAUUGACGCUGAGGAGCGAAAGCCAGGGGAGCAAACGGG